rnacentral:rRNA from 1 species
AUUGAACGCUGGCGGCAUGCUUUACACAUGCAAGUCGAACGGUAACAGGCCUUCGGGUGCUGCCGAGUGGCGCACGGGUGAGUAAUGCAUCGGAACGUGCCCAGAGGUGGGGGAUAACGCAGCGAAAGCUGUGCUAAUACCGCAUGUGAUCUGAGGAUGAAAGCGGGGGACCAGGCAGCAAUGUUUGGCCUCGCGCCUUUGGAGCGGCCGAUGUCAGAUUAGGUAGUUGGUGGGGUAAAGGCCUACCAAGCCGACGAUCUGUAGCUGGUCUGAGAGGACGACCAGCCACACUGGGACUGAGACACGGCCCAGACUCCUACGGGAGGCAGCAGUGGGGAAUUUUGGACAAUGGGCGCAAGCCUGAUCCAGCAAUGCCGCGUGCGGGAAGAAGGCCUUCGGGUUGUAAACCGCUUUUGUACGGAACGAAAAGGCUCUGGCUAAUACCUGGGGCUGAUGACGGUACCGUAAGAAUAAGCACCGGCUAACUACGUG